rnacentral:rRNA from 1 species
CCGGCGAUUUCCGAAUGGGGAAACCCAGUGUGAUUCGUCACACUAUCAUUAACUGAAUCCAUAGGUUAAUGAGGCGAACCGGGGGAACUGAAACAUCUAAGUACCCCGAGGAAAAGAAAUCAACCGAGAUUCCCCCAGUAGCGGCGAGCGAACGGGGAGGAGCCCAGAGCCUGAAUCAGUGUGUGUGUUAGUGGAAGCGUCUGGAAAGGCGCGCGAUACAGGGUGACAGCCCCGUACACAAAAAUGCACAUGCUGUGAGCUCGAUGAGUAGGGCGGGACACGUGGUAUCCUGUCUGAAUAUGGGGGGACCAUCCUCCAAGGCUAAAUACUCCUGACUGACCGAUAGUGAACCAGUACCGUGAGGGAAAGGCGAAAAGAACCCCGGCGAGGGGAGUGAAAAAGAACCUGAAACCGUGUACGUACAAGCAGUGGGAGCCUCUUAAUGGGGUGACUGCGUACCUUUUGUAUAAUGGGUCAGCGACUUAUAUUCUGUAGCAAGGUUAACCGAAUAGGGGAGCCGAAGGGAAACCGAGUCUUAACUGGGCGUUAAGUUGCAGGGUAUAGACCCGAAACCCGGUGAUCUAGCCAUGGGCAGGUUGAAGGUUGGGUAACACUAACUGGAGGACCGAACCGACUAAUGUUGAAAAAUUAGCGGAUGACUUGUGGCUGGGGGUGAAAGGCCAAUCAAACCGGGAGAUAGCUGGUUCUCCCCGAAAGCUAUUUAGGUAGCGCCUCGUGAAUUCAUCUCCGGGGGUAGAGCACUGUUUCGGCAAGGGGGUCAUCCCGACUUACCAACCCGAUGCAAACUGCGAAUACCGGAGAAUGUUAUCACGGGAGACACACGGCGGGUGCUAACGUCCGUCGUGAAGAGGGAAACAACCCAGACCGCCAGCUAAGGUCCCAAAGUCAUGGUUAAGUGGGAAACGAUGUGGGAAGGCCCAGACAGCCAGGAUGUUGGCUUAGAAGCAGCCAUCAUUUAAAGAAAGCGUAAUAGCUCACUGGUCGAGUCGGCCUGCGCGGAAGAUGUAACGGGGCUAAACCAUGCACCGAAGCUGCGGCAGCGACGCUUAUGCGUUGUUGGGUAGGGGAGCGUUCUGUAAGCCUGUGAAGGUGGCCUGUGAGGGUUGCUGGAGGUAUCAGAAGUGCGAAUGCUGACAUAAGUAACGAUAAAGCGGGUGAAAAGCCCGCUCGCCGGAAGACCAAGGGUUCCUGUCCAACGUUAAUCGGGGCAGGGUGAGUCGACCCCUAAGGCGAGGCCGAAAGGCGUAGUCGAUGGGAAACAGGUUAAUAUUCCUGUACUUGGUGUUACUGCGAAGGGGGGACGGAGAAGGCUAUGUUGGCCGGGCGACGGUUGUCCCGGUUUAAGCGUGUAGGCUGGUUUUCCAGGCAAAUCCGGAAAACCAAGGCUGAGGCGUGAUGACGAGGCACUACGGUGCUGAAGUGACAAAUGCCCUGCUUCCAGGAAAAGCCUCUAAGCAUCAGGUAACAUCAAAUCGUACCCCAAACCGACACAGGUGGUCAGGUAGAGAAUACCAAGGCGCUUGAGAGAACUCGGGUGAAGGAACUAGGCAAAAUGGUGCCGUAACUUCGGGAGAAGGCACGCUGAUAUGUAGGUGAAGCGACUUGCUCGUGGAGCUGAAAUCAGUCGAAGAUACCAGCUGGCUGCAACUGUUUAUUAAAAACACAGCACUGUGCAAACACGAAAGUGGACGUAUACGGUGUGACGCCUGCCCGGUGCCGGAAGGUUAAUUGAUGGGGUUAGCGGUAACGCGAAGCUCUUGAUCGAAGCCCCGGUAAACGGCGGCCGUAACUAUAACGGUCCUAAGGUAGCGAAAUUCCUUGUCGGGUAAGUUCCGACCUGCACGAAUGGCGUAAUGAUGGCCAGGCUGUCUCCACCCGAGACUCAGUGAAAUUGAACUCGCUGUGAAGAUGCAGUGUACCCGCGGCAAGACGGAAAGACCCCGUGAACCUUUACUAUAGCUUGACACUGAACAUUGAGCCUUGAUGUGUAGGAUAGGUGGGAGGCUUUGAAGUGUGGACGCCAGUCUGCAUGGAGCCGACCUUGAAAUACCACCCUUUAAUGUUUGAUGUUCUAACGUUGGCCCCUAAUCGGGGUUGCGGACAGUGUCUGGUGGGUAGUUUGACUGGGGCGGUCUCCUCCUAAAGAGUAACGGAGGAGCACGAAGGUUGGCUAAUCCUGGUCGGACAUCAGGAGGUUAGUGCAAUGGCAUAAGCCAGCUUGACUGCGAGCGUGACGGCGCGAGCAGGUGCGAAAGCAGGUCAUAGUGAUCCGGUGGUUCUGAAUGGAAGGGCCAUCGCUCAACGGAUAAAAGGUACUCCGGGGAUAACAGGCUGAUACCGCCCAAGAGUUCAUAUCGACGGCGGUGUUUGGCACCUCGAUGUCGGCUCAUCACAUCCUGGGGCUGAAGUAGGUCCCAAGGGUAUGGCUGUUCGCCAUUUAAAGUGGUACGCGAGCUGGGUUUAGAACGUCGUGAGACAGUUCGGUCCCUAUCUGCCGUGGGCGCUGGAGAACUGAGGGGGGCUGCUCCUAGUACGAGAGGACCGGAGUGGACGCAUCACUGGUGUUCGGGUUGUCAUGCCAAUGGCACUGCCCGGUAGCUAAAUGCGGAAGAGAUAAGUGCUGAAAGCAUCUAAGCACGAAACUUGCCCCGAGAUGAGUUCUCCCUGAGACUUAGAGUCUCCUGAAGGAACGUUGAAGACGACGACGUUGAUAGGCCGGGUGUGUAAGCGCAGCGAUGCGUUGAGCUAACCGGUACUAAUGAACCGUGAGGCUUAACCUU